UACGUAGGGUGCAAGCGUUAAUCGGAAUUACUGGGCGUAAAGGGCGCGUAGGCGGUCUGCUAAGUUGGAUGUGAAAACUCUGGGCUUAACCCAGAGCCUGCAUUCAAUACUGACAGGCUAGAGUUCUGGAGGGGAUAGCGGAAUUCCUGGUGUAGCGGUGAAAUGCGUAGAUAUCAGGAGGAACACCGGUGGCGAAGGCGGCAUCCUGGACCGACACUGACGCUGAGGAGCGAAAGCCAGGGGAGCAAACGGG
rnacentral:rRNA from 1 species